UGGAGGCUGGAAAAGAGCUGUGUCUGCUAAACAUGCAGUAACGGGAAAGAGGUAGCAAUAUCUCGAGUACAGUGGCGCACGGGUGAGUAGCGCGUGGGUAACCUACCCUUGGGUUGGGGAUAACUCCUCGAAAGGGGUGCUAAUACCGGGUAAUAUUCUGGUUUCUUCGGAGAUUAGAAUCAAAGGGGGCCUCUGCAUGCAAGCUUCCGCCCAGGGAUGGGCCCGCGUACCAUUAGCUAGUUGGUAGGGUAACGGCCUACCAAGGCAACGAUGGUUAGCUGGUCUGAGAGGAUGGCCAGCCACACUGGAACUGAGAUACGGUCCAGACUCCUACGGGAGGCAGCAGUGGGGAAUCUUGCGCAAUGGGGGAAACCCUGACGCAGCAACGCCGCGUGGGUGAUGAAGGCCUUCGGGUCGUAAAGCCCUGUCAGGUGGAAAGAACCGUGUCGGUACGAACAAUACCGACGCUUGACGGUACCACCGGAGGAAGCACCGGCUAACUCCGUGCCAGCAGCCGCGGUAAUACGGAGGGUGCAAGCGUUGUUCGGAAUUACUGGGCGUAAAGCGCGUGUAGGCGGUCAGGCAAGUCAGAUGUGAAAGCCUUUCGCUUAACGAAAGAAUUGCAUUUGAAACUACCUGGCUGGAGUUCGGGAGAGGAGAGUGGAAUUCCCGGUGUAGAGGUGAAAUUCGUAGAUAUCGGGAGGAACACCGGUGGCGAAGGCGGCUCUCUGGUCCGAUACUGACGCUGAGACGCGAAAGCGUGGGGAGCAAACAGGAUUAGAUACCCUGGUAGUCCACGCGGUAAACGAUGGGCACUAGGUGUAGGAGGUAUUGACCCCUUCUGUGCCGAAGCUAACGCAUUAAGUGCCCCAGCCUGGAGAGUACGGCCGCAAGGCUA
rnacentral:rRNA from 1 species